rnacentral:lncRNA from 1 species
GCCAAUGGAGGCGGUUUCCUCCUAAUAUGUCAACAGCAGAGUUUUCCAGCGAAAUCACAUGAGACUGUCGAGAGAAGUAGGAAGGAAUGUGACCAGCAGUGUCUGUGGAGCAGCAGCUGAAAGUAGCAAGGCAUGCCUGCCGUGUUCAAGUUGAUCAGUCUUGACAAUUUUGCCUGCUAUUUGAGAUAUCAACAAGAAAGAUUAAGGAUAAGCAGCCUUAAGACAGAUUAGUGUCACAGAAACCUCAGCAAUGAUCAAUAACUAUGCAUCUAUUGAGUUAUACCUUAUACCAAGAAGUAGCAUUCCAUCAUAUCAACUUUUCUGUAGCUGCUGCAACUUCUUUGCCUCCGUUACAUCAAAUUACCGGACUACUUGUAUUUCACUAUAUGCAUUAGAAUCAUCUAGCAUCUUUCUGAGAAGUGGAUGAUCCAACUGAUUUCGGGGCAACAAUUCUAUCAGCAAAGACAAUGUGGUUGCAUCAGCUGAGAAACCCUUAGACA